rnacentral:tRNA from 7 species
AAAAUCCGUCGACUUUAGAAAUCGUGAGGGU